UAAAGAGAGAGAGGAGACAUUUUCUCAGAAAAUUGUCAAUGACUAAGAGUGAUUAAAACUAAAAGGUUUUAAGAUGAAGCAGAAAAUAUUCCUGAUGUAAAGAAGAUAUGCCUAAACCAGAGGAUAUUCUUUUGAUAAAUACUAUCAAGAUAAAGUAAUGGCAGAAUGUAGCAGCUCUCCAGACAUAAAGAGGAAACAGACGAUUACGUGGACUGGGCCAAACAUGACACCCUCUUUGAGCCAACAACAGCCAUAUGAACAGACAUUCAGCACCAUCUGCACAAACCUACAGCUUAAUUCAAGGUCAGGACACUUUCACUGUGCUUAUUGAAUAACUAGCAGGAAAAGGUCCCUCUCAGUACCUUUAACACUGAGGGUCAUCUUUAGCAAUACUUCGCAAUUUUAGAUACAAUUUACAUUAAAUGGAUUUUGAGUAAAAAAGAUUGCUCUCAAUAUGCGUGGGCCUCAUCAAACCAGUCAAGAAAGAGCCUAUAUAACACGAAAAGGCCAGCUACCCUCAGCAAGAGAGAAUUGCCCAACAGACAAUGCUCGGACUUCAUCUGCACCAUUGGCUCUUCCUGGUGCUACAGCAGAUGGCCUCAGACUCAAAGUGGAGCAUCAGUUCUUCUGGACCAUCUGCCUGACAACACCUGCAGAUUAUGGAUUUACCAGCUUCCAUAAUCAUGUGAGCCAAUUCUUUUAGAAGAUUAAUGGAUACAUGAUAGAUAGACAGAAAUAUUCUAUUGGUCGUAUCUUUGAAGAACCCUGACUAGUAUACCAGCAUUUUAAAACUGAAAGUUUUGACCAGCUUCAGUGACACAACUGUAACAAAAUGCUACCUGGGGCUGAAGGAAGAUCCUGGUUUUGUGUCCUGAGGUCUCUCUGUACAUUGCUGAGUGCUCACACAUUC